AGAGUUUGAUCCUGGCUCAGAGUGAACGCUGGCGGCGUGCUUAACACAUGCAAGUCGAACGGUAACAGGAAGUAGCUUGCUACUUUGCUGACGAGUGGCGCACGGGUGAGUAAACUAUAGUUAAUGUGCCUCGAAGACUGGGAUAGCCACUGGAAACGGUGAUUAAUACUAGAUACACCUCUUUAGCUCAAGCUAGAGUGGGAAACGUUUUUUCGCUUCGAGAUCAGACUAUAUCCUAUCAGUUAGUUGGUGAGGUAAUGGCUCACCAAGGCAAUGACGGGUAGCGGUUCUGAGAGGAUGAUCCGCCACACUGGUACUGAGACACGGACCAGACUCCUACGGGAGGCAGCAGUGAGGAAUAUUGCACAAUGGGGGGAACCCUGAUGCAGCAACGCCGCGUGGAGGAUGACGCAUUUCGGUGUGUAAACUCCUUUUAUAUGUCAAGAAAAUGACGGUAGCAUAUGAAUAAGCACCGGCUAACUCCGUGCCAGCAGCCGCGGUAAUACGGAGGGUGCAAGCGUUACUCGGAAUCACUGGGCGUAAAGGACGCGUAGGCUGUUUUGCAAGUCAGAUGUGAAAUCCAAUGGCUCAACCAUUGAACUGCAUUUGAAACUGCUAGACUAGAGUAUGGGAGGGGGAGAUGGAAUUAGUGGUGUAGGGGUAAAAUCCGUAGAUAUCACUAGGAAUACCUAAAGCGAAGGCGAUCUCCUGGAACAUUACUGACGCUAAGGCGUGAAAGCGUGGGGAGCAAACAGGAUUAGAUACCCUGGUAGUCCACGCCCUAAACGAUGAACACUAGUCGUCGGGAUGCUUGUCAUCUCGGUGAUGCACUUAACAGGUUAAGUGUUCCGCCUGGGGAGUACGGUCGCAAGAUUAAACUCAAAGGAAUAGACGGGGACCCGCACAAGUGCUGGAGCAUGUGGUUUAAUUUGAAGAUACGCGUAAAACAUUACCUGGCCUUGACAUUGAUAGAAUCCGGUUGAGAUAGGGGAGUGCCAUUGGCGGAGCUUGAAAACAGAUGCUGCAGGGCUGUGGUCAUCUUGAGUUGUGAGAUGGUGGGGUAAGUCCAGCAACGAGCGCAACCGUAGUCCUUAUCUGCCAGCAGGAUCAGGUGGACACUGUCGGGAGAGUGCGUUUGCAAGGAGGAGGAAGGUGAGGAUGAGGUCAAGUCCUCAUGGUCCUUACCGCCAGGGCCACACACGUGCUACAAUGGGGAGUACAGAGUGUUGCAAUACCAAGAGGUGGAGCCAAUCACAUAAAGCGUAUGUCUGUUUGGAUUGUUAUUUGCAUCUGGAGAGCAUGAAGAUGGAAUCAGUAGUAAUAGUAGUUCAGGUUUGGUUCGGUGAAUACGUUUCCGGGUCUUGUUCUCACCGUCCCGUCACACCAUGGGAGUUGAUUUCACCUUCAAUUGGGAAGGUAACGUUCGGGAGGCUACCACUUACGGUGGAAUUAGCGACUGGGGUGAAGUCGUAACAAGGUAACC
rnacentral:rRNA from 1 species